CACGGAUCCAGAGUUUGAUUAUGGCUCAGAUUGAACGCUGGCGGCAGGCUUAACACAUGCAAGUCGAGCGGUAACAGGAGAAGCUUGCUUCUCGCUGACGAGCGGCGGACGGGUGAGUAAUACUUAGGAAUCUGCCCAGUAGUGGGGGAUAGCUCGGGGAAACUCGAAUUAAUACCGCAUACACCCUACGGGGAAAAGGGGGCGCUUGCGCUCUCGCUAUUGGAUGAGCCUAAGUCGGAUUAGCUAGUUGGUGGGGUAAAGGCCUACCAAGGCGACGAUCUGUAGCUGGUCUGAGAGGAUGAUCAGCCACACCGGGACUGAGACACGGCCCGGACUCCUACGGGAGGCAGCAGUGGGGAAUAUUGGACAAUGGGGGCAACCCUGAUCCAGCCAUGCCGCGUGUGUGAAGAAGGCCUUUUGGUUGUAAAGCACUUUAAGCAGUGAAGAAGACCUAACGGUUAAUACCCGUUAGCGAUGACAUUAGCUGCAGAAUAAGCACCGGCUAACUCUGUGCCAGCAGCCGCGGUAAUACAGAGGGUGCAAGCGUUAAUCGGAAUUACUGGGCGUAAAGCGAGCGUAGGUGGCUUGAUAAGUCAGAUGUGAAAUCCCCGGGCUUAACCUGGGAACUGCAUCUGAUACUGUCAGGCUAGAGUAGGUGAGAGGGAGGUAGAAUUUCAGGUGUAGCGGUGAAAUGCGUAGAGAUCUGAAGGAAUACCGAUGGCGAAGGCAGCCUCCUGGCAUCAUACUGACACUGAGGUUCGAAAGCGUGGGUAGCAAACAGGAUUAGAUACCCUGGUAGUCCACGCCGUAAACGAUGUCUACUAGUCGUUGGGGAACUUGAUUCCUUAGUGACGCAGCUAACGCAAUAAGUAGACCGCCUGGGGAGUACGGCCGCAAGGUUAAAACUCAAAUGAAUUGACGGGGGCCCGCACAAGCGGUGGAGCAUGUGGUUUAAUUCGAUGCAACGCGAAGAACCUUACCUGGUCUUGACAUAUCUAGAAUCCUGCAGAGAUGCGGGAGUGCCUUCGGGAAUUAGAAUACAGGUGCUGCAUGGCUGUCGUCAGCUCGUGUCGUGAGAUGUUGGGUUAAGUCCCGCAACGAGCGCAACCCUUUUCCUUAGUUACCAGCGGUUUGGCCGGGGACUCUAAGGAUACUGCCAGUGACAAACUGGAGGAAGGCGGGGACGACGUCAAGUCAUCAUGGCCCUUACGACCAGGGCUACGCACGUGCUACAAUGGUAGGUACAGAGGGCAGCUACACAGCGAUGUGAUGCGAAUCUCAAAAAGCCUAUCGUAGUCCAGAUUGGAGUCUGCAACUCGACUCCAUGAAGUAGGAAUCGCUAGUAAUCGCGGAUCAGAAUGCCGCGGUGAAUACGUUCCCGGGCCUUGUACACACCGCCCGUCACACCAUGGGAGUUGAUUGCACCAGAAGUGGGUAGCCUAACUUUUAGAGGGCGCUCACCACGGUGUGGUUGAUGACUGGGGUGAAGUCGUAACAAGGUAGCCGUAAGCUUCAC
rnacentral:rRNA from 1 species